CUACGUAGGGGGCGAGCGUUGUCCGGAAUGAUUGGGCGUAAAGGGCGCGUAGGCGGCCCGGUAAGUCUGGAGUGAAAGUCCUGUUUUUAAGAUGGGAAUUGCUUUGGAUACUGUCGGGCUUGAGUGCAGGAGAGGUAAGUGGAAUUCCCAGUGUAGCGGUGAAAUGCGUAGAGAUUGGGAGGAACACCAGUGGCGAAGGCGACUUACUGGACUGUAACUGACGCUGAGGCGCGAAAGUGUGGGGAGCAAACAGGAUUAGAUACCCUGGUAGUCCACGCUGUAAACGAUGAAUACUAGGUGUGGGGGGACUGACCCCCUCCGUGCCGCAGUUAACACAAUAAGUAUUCCACCUGGGGAGUACGAUCGCAAGAUUGAAACUCAAAUGAAUUGACGGGG
rnacentral:rRNA from 1 species